UGGAAAUGCAGCUGCAUGUCUCUGUCAUGGCUGAGGGCACUGUUAAUUGAACUUGUGCUAAGUGACUGAUAGCAGCUGAGAGGAUUGAGGUGACUGAAGGACUGGCUAUACCUGGGCUGCAAAUAAAUACUAAAAUCCCAGAACACUUGAACGGAUGAGUAAUAGUCACCAAUGAGGGGGAGGAGGAUAAAUGUUAUAAAACAGCAUCUGAAGAGAAGAACAAAAGGACUGGAAACAAAGCCCUAAAUCCAUAAGAAGAUCAAACUCCUUCCUGAUGUAACUCCAGUAAAAUAAUGUAACACAGCCCAUGGAUGCAUCCAGUCCAUGAUUUUUACACAGGAACAACAGAAGUCAUAAAUAUUUCAGGAAUCUCAAAUAGGACAAUGUCUAUACAGCAGAAGUCAAGAUGGAGAUUUUGGUCUGGAAGAGAACUUUAUUUUUGCACUUUGUGUCUUUUUUAUUGCAGGGCCUGGAGAUUGUACAUCUUCAGGGAUGUCACUUUCUAAAUUAAGAGGUGAUCUGAGUUUGGUUUCAGUGGAAGUUGGAACAGGCCACAUGUGCAUAGGAAGCAUUGCUACCUAUCAUAGUAGGUACCUUCAUACUCAUACCUUCACAUAUUGUUGCCUAACAUAGUUGUUACCAAUCAAUGUGCUAAUACAUAGUGGCAACACUGGAAAGGUGUCCCAUAUAUAACAUAUUCCAGGUGUCUAGUUUUUCCUUGACUGAUUUGCUGCUGCAAGCUGUUUGGUGCCUUUAGCUCAAAACUUGUGCUCUUUAGAAUGACAGGGGCUGCUAAUUUUGUCCUAAAACCUGGAUCUAUGAAAUCGAAAUUUAUAAAAUCUGAAACCCAAGGAAUUACUAUAUUGUUAAACUCUACUUGUUUGCAAACUGACAGAUACCCUCUGGCAAUGCCUGAAUUCCCAUACAGCAAAGACUUG